rnacentral:rRNA from 1 species
UACGUAGGGGGCGAGCGUUGUCCGGAUUCAUUGGGCGUAAAGAGCUCGUAGGCGGUUUGGUAAGUCGGGUGUGAAAACCCCAGGCUCAACCUGGGGACGCCACCUGAUACUGCUAUGACUUGAGUCUGGUAGGGGAUCACGGAAUUCCUGGUGUAGCGGUGAAAUGCGCAGAUAUCAGGAGGAACACCGGUGGCGAAGGCGGUGAUCUGGGCCAGUACUGACGCUGAGGAGCGAAAGCGUGGGGAGCAAACAGG